rnacentral:rRNA from 1 species
CCUACGGGCGGCAGCAGUGGGGAAUAUUGCACAAUGGGCGAAAGCCUGAUGCAGCAACGCCGCGUGAGCGAUGAAGGCCUUCGGGUCGUAAAGCUCUGUCCUCACGGAGGAUAAUGACGGUACUUGAGGCGGACGCCCCGGCUAACUACGUGCCAGCAGCGGCGGUACUACGUAGGGGGCUAGCGUUAUCCGGAAUUACUGGGCGUAAAGGGUGCGUAGGUGGUUUCUUAAGUCAGAGGUGAAAGGCUACGGCUAAACCGUAGUAAGCCUUUGAAACUGGGGAACUUGAGUGCAGGAGAGGAGAGUGGAAUUCCUAGUGUAGCGGUGAAAUGCGUAGAUAUCAGGCGGAACACCGGUGGCGAAGGCGACUAUCUGGCACAUAACUGACGCUGAGGAGCGAAAGCGUGGGUAGCAAACAGGAUUAGAUACCCUUGUAGUC